rnacentral:rRNA from 1 species
UGCCAGACUCCUACGGGAGGCAGCAGUGAGGAAUAUUGGUCAAUGGGCGAGAGCCUGAACCAGCCAAGUCGCGUGAAGGAUGACGGCCCUACGGGUUGUAAACUUCUUUUGUCAGGGAGCAAUUGAGUCCACGUGUGGGCUUAGCGAGAGUACCUGAAGAAAAAGCAUCGGCUAACUCCGUGCCAGCAGCCGCGGUAAUACGGAGGAUGCGAGCGUUAUCCGGUUUUAUUGGGUUUAAAGGGUGCGCAGGCGGAAGAUAAAGUCAGCGUUAAAUUGGAGGGCCCCAACCUCUUCGAGCCGUUGAAACUGGUUUUCUUGAGUGAGCGAGAAGUAUGCGGAAUGCGUGGUGUAGCGGUGAAAUGCAUAGAUAUCACGCAGAACUCCGAUUGCGAAGGCAGCAUACCGGCGCUCAACUGACGCUCAUGCACGAAAGUGUGGGUAUCGAACAGGAUUAGAUACCCGAGUA